GACGAACGCUGGCGGCGUGCUUAACACAUGCAAGUCGAACGGAAAGGCCCUGCUUUUGUGGGGUGCUCGAGUGGCGAACGGGUGAGUAACACGUGAGUAACCUGCCCUUGACUUUGGGAUAACUUCAGGAAACUGGGGCUAAUACCGGAUAGGAGCUCCUGCUGCAUGGUGGGGGUUGGAAAGUUUCGGCGGUUGGGGAUGGACUCGCGGCUUAUCAGCUUGUUGGUGGGGUAGUGGCUUACCAAGGCUUUGACGGGUAGCCGGCCUGAGAGGGUGACCGGACACAUUGGGACUGAGAUCAGGCCCAGACUCCUACGGGAGGCAGCAGUGGGGAAUAUUGCACAAUGGGCGGAAGCCUGAUGCAGCAACGCCGCGUGCGGGAUGACGGCCUUCGGGGUGUAAACCGCUUUCGCCUGUGACGAAGCGUGAGUGACGGUAAUGGGUAAAGAAGCACCGGCUAACUCCGUG
rnacentral:rRNA from 1 species